rnacentral:lncRNA from 10 species
AUUCUGUCCACUUCGUAUAUUAGAAGCUGCCCCAUGAAAAUUUGCAUAUGUAUCAUCAUACUUGGUAAUCAGCACUAAUCAUUACUUAAUCUGAUAAUAAGAUGGGAAUUUGCACCUGAAGGAGUCUUGUUGGGGAUUGAUUGAAGUCAAAUAACUUGUUAAUUAUUAGUUAUAUUAAUGCUGAAGGCUGCACAUCACAUGGAAUUCUGGACUUCAGGAUGGACAUGGUUAAUGGGUGUGACCUGGGAACUGUGUCCUGUGGGAUAGAGUAAGUGCAUUUCAUUUAGAGUGAAUUGAGGGGGAAGAGAUAAGGAUACACACACAUACACAUACACACAUAUAUAUACAACACACAUAUGUUAAAAAGUAUUAAGUGAAUUGAGGCAGAAGUGAGAAAGAUACACAUAUAGAUAGUUAUACAUACAUAUAUAAAUAUAAACAUAUAUAUAUAUAUACACACACAUACAACACAUAUAUAUUAAAUAGUUAAAAGGGUGGCUUACAGAUUCUGAAUUACAGAAUCAAAAGCCAUUAACAGUCAUCUUCUCUGUUUUCUUCUAAUAGAAUACAGCCUGGAAAGCUUGAAUUCUAGAUUCCUCAGUCUGUUUCAGUUAGGAGAGACCACAUGACAGAGCUCUGUAUAAGGAGGUGGAGUUGCUGUUCAAAAGGGAAGUUGCUAGAAAGAUACCAGUUGAAGGAAUAAGAGAAAGGAACUAAAUCCUUGGGUGCCCAGCUGAGGUUGAAUUGACACCCCUAUUUAUGGGAGGCUUGGGCUGAGGCUUCUACUCACAUGUGUGAGGGAAAGCCACUCUGAAACAAGAGACACACUGCUUAUUAACCACAGAUAGCUGGAAGUCUUCAAGCAGCAGCAAGCAGCUACAAAUCUCACCUAUCAACUUUAUUGAAAUUAAAUUUUUGUGGUCUCUUCUUAUACAAUCCCUUUCCCAAAACCAAUUUGCAUAAUUUGGUAUAAUUUGAAAUGAUUGACACAGGUUGCUAAUUGUUGGGGUAGAAACUAGACCCUCAAAGUAGCUAAGUCUCGAGGGCAAAGGUUAGAAUCCAGUAACUGGUAGUGUGGGUCGAAUUGAUAUUCGUUUAAUAAUCUGUAAACUGUGCAAGAGAAUGUAAUUGUCCUACAUUACAAGGGUAGUCCUUCCACUGCACAGUUUAUUCAAAUGUAUAAUCUAAAUAAUUGAGUACCUCUGCAUACAAUAGAGCAUUUCCUCAUAUGCAAACACCAUUUAAUAGACAGUUAAAUCCAAACAGAUGGAUAAAAGAUGCCAGAACAUAAUUGGUUUGCUUUUGAUUAUUUCAUUGAUACCAAUUUACUUAAAGAGUAAGUCUGGACAAGGUAGGAUUUAUUGUCACAGAAUACUCAGUUUGACAGGGAGAUGUUAAAAGAUUCAGCAAUGUACUUUCAAUUUCCACUCAUGAAAGCUUGGGUAAAAAUGAACUUUUGACCAAAUGUUUGGCUUUGUCUUUACUUGGAUCUGACCACUACAAACACUUGAUAAAACAUAAAUCGAUCUUAUUUUAUUUAAUAUCUUCUUCAGGAUUUCUUGGUUUCACAAUAGAUAUCAACCUACUAUAAUUCUUUUGAAUAGCUGGAGAACAUCAUUUAAAAAGAAAUGAGAAGUAAUCAUUGAUGAACAGUUUUUAAAACAGCAGCUAUAAUUCCAAGUCUUAUAUAAACUACAGUAUUUUACGUAAUCCUGAAUGUUUUC